rnacentral:misc_RNA from 1 species
AAGUCGUAACAAGGUUUCCGUAGGUGAACCUGCGGAAGGAUCAUUAAAUUCAGUAGCUUGCUACUGUUAGGAGGGUCUAUUAGUCUGUAUAGUAUCACUACUGAUGAGCAGCACGACCCUCUGUCUAUACCCUUGUCUUUUGCGCACUCAUGUUUCCUCGGCGGCUUAAUAUCCGCCGGCUGGAUCAAUCUAUAACCUUUUUAAUUUUCAAUCAGCGUCUGAAAAACCUAAUAAAUUACAACUUUCAACAACGGAUCUCUUGGUUCUG